rnacentral:rRNA from 1 species
UACAGAGGGUGUAAACGUUGUUCGGAUUUACUGGGCGUAAAGCGCGUGUAGGCUGCUUCGCAAGUCGGAUGUGAAAGCCCUGGGCUCAACCCAGGAAGUGCAUUCGAAACUGCAGAGCUGGAGUCCUGGAGAGGAAGGCGGAAUUCUCGGUGUAGAGGUGAAAUUCGUAGAUAUCGAGAGGAACACCGGUGGCGAAGGCGGCCUUCUGGACAGUGACUGACGCUGAGACGCGAAAGCGUGGGGAGCAAACAGG